UGACUUAUUAGUUAAGCUUUGUGACGUAAUUAAACGCACCAAUUCUCUAUUGAUGGGCAUUUGCUUUUUUCCAGUUUCUCAUCUGUCUAAACAGUCAACCUCCUUAUAGGAAAUCAGUGUCGGUGUUGCUGAUCCAAGUGCAUAAGAUCAGCUCUGGCAGUGACAUCACUGGGCCAAAGGUCCCAGAAUGCUUUCACCAAGUGAUAAUUCGUAUGAAACUACUUCAGAGCACUCAUGGGAAAAUGGAAUUAAAAGGUCCAGCACUUAUUGUGUCUUGCAUAACUAAUUAAUUAGGAUGUGCUUUGCCUUGCUUUGCCAAGGGUGCAUAAUUUAUCAUGCAGGGCUCCUGAAACAAUCUUAGACCUGGCAGAUGGAGAGUGCACUGCUUUACAGUGAGCCGUGAGCCUUGGGGAGCCAGUGAAGACCUGUGGUCGGUGGGCCUUCCAGGAGAUCAUUCAGUAGCAAGACAGAGUUCACCUCGCACACCCUGGUGAUUUCUGACACUGGUUUUGCUGGGAAUAAGCCGCCUGGAUGCUGGAUUAAUUUAUUAGUUAAAGGUGUCAGACUGAAGGUCUGAUUCAGUAAGCCUCCUGUUCCAGGUUACAGAGCCGGCCCCUGAAGCUAGAGGCACAGUCCUGCCCUCAGAGAGCUCGCUGCCUGUUGGAGGAUUAAGACGUUCAAGAGAAUUGCAACACAGAGGGUAAGUGCCACAUUUAGGAUCAGGCCAGGAGCUGCAGAAGCCCAGGCAGGGAAGGGAAGUCUGCCAAGAACUUCAUGGGGGAAGGGAGAGACAGAGCAGAUCAGACAGGAACUAGAACUCUUUUGCAAUGACAAGAGCUUCAGAAUGGAGCAUGUUCUCCGAGGCUUUUUGUCUUCAGAGGUCACACAGCAGGGGUGAUGGUGAGGAAUUCAAGUCAGCAGUGGGCACCCUGAGGGUCCUCCUGUGCCUUCAGGAGCACAGUGGAAAGGAGGCAGGACCCUAACCCUGAUUUGUCCCUGCAGAGGCUCAGAUCUGAGUGGUGGCUUCUGCUUGAUUGCUUAGGGGCCCAUGGGUGACAGUGAAGAUGCAAAGGACGGGUGCGUUAUUGAGUGCCGAUGCACGGUUCCAUAUUAUCUCCUUUAUGUUUCCAAGCAUGUCUGAGGGAAGAAAUAUCAGGUUCUGCUUUACAGCUGAGGAAGCUGAGGCUUCCAUGGCUAAAUGCUUUCGGGCCACACAUCUCCUUAGUGGCUCAGUUGGGUUUCACAUUACAUCCUGAUGUGGUCCUAACUUCACGCGUCCGUUCUUUCAAAGAAGCAAAGUUGGGCAGAGUUAAAGUCCCUGAUGUGAAUCUGGUACUUCAUCAUCUUAUCAAGUUUUAAGGUCAGAUUAUGCCGGUCCUGGAGGAGAGUCUGAGGUCAUCUAGUCAGCCCAACCGUAACUUAAGCUCUUGCAUUUUUCAUGCAUGAAAGAAGAUCAGGAAUGUGAUAGUAGACAUUGCCUUCACGUCCAUUCAGCUCUCUGUUGGGCAGAGUUUGAUCAUCAUAACUAAUUCCAGGACACUGUCCUUUUCUUAUAUCACGCACGUUUUCUCAUGUCCCACUCCUCUUUCAGUGGGAUGCGGAUUUAUUGGAAUACUGAAUCGUAUAUUCUCUUUGAUCAUGAUUUUGUUUUGUGGUCAAGAAGACCAGAAGGAAACACAUCCAUAAAUUGAAAGUCAUCGU